GAGGUUAUAGCUCAGUGGUAAGAGUGAGUGCUUAGCAUACAUAAGGUGCCGGGUUCAAUCCCCAGUACCUCCA
rnacentral:tRNA from 1 species